GUACACAUUUCAUUGUCCUUUUUCUUUCCAUCAAGAGAAAAGAUUUCUGAUGUGCUAAACAAAGCUGUGGAGAUAAAUUAGCAGCAUGAUUCAACUUAGCCAUCACUGCCAGUCACCUUCAGACAAGA